AGUCGUAACAAGGUCUCCGUUGGUGAACCAGCGGAGGGAUCAUUGCUGGAACGCGCCCCAGGCGCACCCAGAAACCCUUUGUGAACUUAUACCUUACUGUUGCCUCGGCGCUGGCCGGUCCUUCGGGGCCCCUCACCCUCGGGUGUUGAGACAGCCCGCCGGCGGCCAACCUAACUCUUGUUUUUACACUGAAACUCUGAGAAUAAAACAUAAAUGAAUCAAAACUUUCAACAACGGAUCUCUUGGUUCUGGCAUCGAUGAAGAACGCAGCGAAAUGCGAUAAGUAAUGUGAAUUGCAGAAUUCAGUGAAUCAUCGAAUCUUUGAACGCACAUUGCGCCCUCUGGUAUUCCGGAGGGCAUGCCUGUUCGAGCGUCAUUUCAACCCUCAAGCCUGGCUUGGUGAUGGGGCACUGCUUUUACCCAAAAGCAGGCCCUGAAAUUCAGUGGCGAGCUCGCCAGGACCCCGAGCGCAGUAGUUAAACCCUCGCUUUGGAAGGCCCUGGCGGUGCCCUGCCGUUAAACCCCCAACUUCUGAAAAUUUGACCUCGGAUCAGGUAGGAAUACCCGCUGAACUUAAGCAUAUCAUA
rnacentral:misc_RNA from 1 species